UACAGAGACUGCAAGCGUUAUUCGGAUUCACUGGGCGUAAAGGGUGCGCAGGCGCCAGGUGUGUUAGGCGUGAAAGCCCGGGCUUAACCCGGAAUUGCACCUAAAACUACUUGGCUAGAGCAUUGGAGAGGGUAGCGGAAUUCACGGUGUAGCAGUGAAUGCGUAGAUAUCGAUGAGGAACACCAGAGGCGAGGCGGCUACCUGGACAAUUGCUGACGCUCAGGCACGA
rnacentral:rRNA from 1 species